rnacentral:lncRNA from 10 species
CCUGAUGACAAGAGAGAAUCUACGUCUCAACAACAACAACACGCUUGGGCACUGUAUUAACUCCAUAAUCAUCUAAAUUUUAUUGGGAACAGCUAGUUUGACAAGCAUAGACCAGAUGUCCAGUUGUCAUUCAUUCAGCAGGAGCAGCAAGAUUCAAUCAUGUUUUUAUUAUAUUAUUUCCUGAAACUUGUGGCUGUAACAAUGAAGUUUGAGGAUUGGUCUGUGUAAGUAUGGCAGAAGUGAUGUUAAGUCGCUUAUGAGAUUAGGGUAUAAAAGACUAAGGCUUCCAUGCUUCCAUCUUGGUCUCUGUCUCUCAGAGAACAGUCAUGUGAAUGAUUCUUCUUGAAAGUAAAUCUUCCAGCCCCAGUCCAGUAUUCAAAUGAUCCAGCAACAUUGCAACUUAUGAGAGACCUUGAGCCAUCCAGGUAACAUGCUUCCAAAUCCUGACCCUUAAAACCUGUAAAAUAAUAAAUGUGGUUUUAAACUCUUAAGUAAUUUGUUACAUAGUAAUAAAUAGCUAAUACACCGUC